rnacentral:rRNA from 1 species
CCUACGGGCUCUGCAGUGGGGAAUAUUGGACAAUGGGCGAAAGCCUGAUCCAGCCAUGCCGCGUGUGUGAAGAAGGCCUUCGGGUUGUAAAGCACUUUCAGUGGGGAAGAAAGCCUUGGGGCUAAUACCCUCGAGGAAGGACAUCACCCACAGAAGAAGCACCGGCUAACUCCGUGCCAGCAGCCGCGGUAAUACGGAGGGUGCGAGCGUUAAUCGGAAUUACUGGGCGUAAAGCGCGCGUAGGCGGUCUGAUAAGCCGGUUGUGAAAGCCCCGGGCUCAACCUGGGAACGGCAUCCGGAACUGUCAGGCUAGAGUGCAGGAGAGGAAGGUAGAAUUCCCGGUGUAGCGGUGAAAUGCGUAGAGAUCGGGAGGAAUACCAGUGGCGAAGGCGGCCUUCUGGACUGACACUGACGCUGAGGUGCGAAAGCGUGGGUAGCAAACAGGAUUAGAUACCCCGGUAGUC